GCCCUUCAAGUGGUUGAUAAAUUGACUAUUUUAAGUUGCAGUGCAUGGGAUAAAAUAGCUAUAGCAAGUAUGGGACAUCUCGGGUCAAGUGGAAUUAGAGUUAAUUUCGUAACCGCGUCAUCCGGGAACGAUGUCGAGAUAGAAGAACGUCCUCUCAGGCUAGACAGAAGUGGUGCGAGACUACUAGCGACGGAGACUGAGCACGAAAGGACAGACAAGGGACCAGCAUGUCAGAGCUCUUAGGCGCAUAGACGAUCCCCGGAAGGUCCCCUCCAGACACACGAUUUUCGGUUGACAUCCCCCAAUGGUUCGGCAGCAAAUGGCG
rnacentral:lncRNA from 1 species